GAGGGCUGUUUAGAAUGAAGGCAGAAGGGGUGAUCAGGGAAAAGUCCACAUCGACUCCUAUCUCACAGCUGCUUUGAGAGACUAUCAUCAUCACCCCUCCCUCUGCGAGUGCUGCACAGAGGUCUGCACGGCUCUACUCUCAGCAGUCUGCCUUCUUCCCUGGACUCUGUAUGCCCUGGCUGUAGGGGUGGAAGACAGAUUUCCCCUCCAACUCACAGCUGGAAAUCUUUUGCUGAUUUUUCUAAUGCUAAAGCUGCCACACCACAAACCACCACCUCGCUGCUCCUGGAUGGGGAGAGCCUCAUCUGUCCGAGUGGGGAAGUCCUCUACCACUUCAGAGACAGAGGGCACUUCCCUUGUGUGUUCUGCCUACUCUGUGCAAUAUAUCCAGGGCCUGUCUUUUACCCACAUCCCCCUGCAGUGCCUGCUUUGGGGACACAAGCCAGCCUCACUAGGCAGCAAGUUUCACAGCCCCGAUGGUGGGCGGAGAGCACCAGAGCACUCAGCAGCACCAGAGCUCCAAAGGAAACCCCAAGGGCUGCAGGAAGCGGUGCUUGUGACUCAGCUUUACCAGAUGAAUCAGCACCUAACUGCCCAUAAGAAAAGUUCAAACAAGGAUCAGGCUUUUGCCUCUACAGCAGCUAUGCAUGACCCACACUGAAACUUCCACCCCUGGAGCAGUGAUCCCUGGGUAGCUGCUGAAUGCCCCUUCCAGCAUUUGAAAUUCAGUCAAUCGUUGUUUCACGGAGCAGAGAAAUCAGACUGGGGUGUGAUUCAGGCUCCUAAAAGAGGAGGUAGUACCAGUCUAAAUCCCUGGGCUACCCAUGAUGUGCCUUCAGGGCUGACAGACCUGACACAAGACCUGUGCCCUUCUGGAGCAGCAGCUGGAGUUCAGAAAGUGCAAGAAAUGUACCAGCAAAGAAUGAAAAUCUCCUCUGAUGUCAUGGAAGAUGUCGGGGUUUGACUUAUGCUAUAAAACCUGGGCAUAUUUAUCCCUUCCUGGAAGAAACGCUUGGAACACUUCUGUUAAGUGGUGAGCUCAUGCCAGCAGGGGAACAGUAAAUCAUCUCUGAUGAAAGACUCUGUUAACACCGAAAUACUGACACGCAUUAAAAGAAAAAGCAGCCAAAAGGCAAACUGUCUGCUUCCAGGGUCUGAUUUCGGCUCUUGGUAGAUAAGGUGACCCAUCUAUCACUCCAACUACGAUCUCUACAGUAAAGGACAAGAGGUGAAAUACACUCUGCUUCUUUUACUACCAUGGGCGUAGUUGUUCUUUCAAAAAGUAGUGAACUGUGGCAGCAAACCCUGUCAUCCAAGCCCGAGAUCCUGCCUGACAAAAGGCAGAACCAUGUGUUUGGAAGAAUGCUGAACAGCCUGUGAUGCACAUAGCCAAUCGUGCAUUGCUGUACACAGCUCAUUGUCAAAUUCCACUCUUUUUUGCUGAAGAUCUGCUUACACUGCUCUGUUUUACAAAGCCACUAUCUACUGGCCACCAUAGCAAGCAACUCAGCCCUUUCAGUAUUUACUGCAAUGAAUUUCCACCCCGUUAAGUCAUCCUACGGUAACCUCAGCCACAGGAGUGGGAAGAGGAGAGAGGAAUCCAGCUGCCCACAGGAGUGAUGGGAUCUGACCCUUGCGUACCUGCAAG